rnacentral:rRNA from 1 species
UCUUUUCUCCCGAGUGCUUGCACUCAAUUGGAAAGAGGAGUGGCGGACGGGUGAGUAACACGUGGGUAACCUACCCAUCAGAGGGGGAUAACACUUGGAAACAGGUGCUAAUACCGCAUAACAGUUUAUGCCGCAUGGCAUAAGAGUGAAAGGCGCUUUCGGGUGUCGCUGAUGGAUGGACCCGCGGUGCAUUAGCUAGUUGGUGAGGUAACGGCUCACCAAGGCCACGAUGCAUAGCCGACCUGAGAGGGUGAUCGGCCACACUGGGACUGAGACACGGCCCAGACUCCUACGGGAGGCAGCAGUAGGGAAUCUUCGGCAAUGGACGAAAGUCUGACCGAGCAACGCCGCGUGAGUGAAGAAGGUUUUCGGAUCGUAAAACUCUGUUGUUAGAGAA